rnacentral:tRNA from 1 species
UGCACCCAUAGCUCAGCUGGAUAGAGCGCUACCCUCCGAAGGUAGAGGCCUCAGGUUCGAAUCCUGAUGGGUGCGCCAU